rnacentral:rRNA from 1 species
GAUUCCCUCAGUAAUGGCGAAUGAAUCGGGAUAAGCUCAAUAUGGAAAUCGUUGCCUCUGGCUUUGAAUUGUAAUUUCAAGAUAUGUUGCUAAUGGGGGCACAAAUGCAAGCCGCUUGGAAAAGCGAACCAUUGAGGGUGAGAGUCCCGUCUGUCAUUUGCAGACCUCCGUGCACGGCAUUCCUUCUAUGAGUCACGUUCCUCGGGAUUGGAGCGCAAAGUUGGUGGUAAAUUUCAUCUCAAGCUGAAUAUGGGCUCGAAGCCGAUAGCAAACAAGUACCAUGAGGGAAAGAUGAAAAGGACUUUGAAAAGAGAGUUAAAAGUGCCUGAACUCGUUGAAAGGAAAGCGGAUGGAACAAGUUUUGCAUUGCAAGAUUGUCAUGUGCUAUGGAAAGAUUUCAUUGCAUAAAUGAAAAUGUUGCAAUGAUACCUGCUUUGGAUUCAUGUGAUGCUUCUUGCUUUGUGUGUCACCAUCCGUUGGAGGGUGGGGAUAACUUUUGGGACAUGGUAGCUCGGCCCCGGCUGUUCGAAUGUCCCUUGCAGGAUUCACUCUCCAAUUGAAUGUGUGGUGUGAGGUUGUGCUGGCUAGCUCUUUACCACAUGCUGCAUAUGUAUGUUGUCAUGUGGGAGCGGGUCACCUUCCUGACAUUGUGAAUGGUGACUAAAUUGUUCUAUUCGACCCGUCUUGAAA